rnacentral:RNase_P_RNA from 1 species
UCUAUCAGCCGUGCUAUCGCUUUUACUUUAGGUAGAAGAGGAAAGUCCGGACAGCAAAGGGCAACAUACCGGUGAAUAGUCGGCUGCUUGUCAUCCUGAGCCUGGCGAAGGAUACAAGUAAGAAGAAAGUGCCACAGAAAAUUACAGCCAUUGCAGUUGGCAACAAUUAUAAUGGUGAUGGUGAAAACGUGAGGUAAGAGCUCACGGUUUUUUGUAGUAAUACAAUUAACGGGUAAACCUUAUGUGCUGUAAUGCCAUGUACACCAGCGGCAGAGAGCGGCUCGUUCGAUAUCGUUUAGGCGGCACCGUUGGAGGGUAGGCAGCAAGACUGUAUCAGUAAUGAUGCAGCCAGAUAAAUGAUAGCAGCUCUGUUUAUCAGAGUACAGGAUCCGGCUUACAGGCUGAUAGAUUUU